UGGGGAAUAUUGGACAAUGGGCGCAAGCCUGAUCCAGCCAUGCCGCGUGGAUGAUGAAGGCCUUAGGGUUGUAAAAUCCUUUCGCCGAGGACGAUAAUGACGGUACUCGGAGAAGAAGCUCCGGCUAACUUCGUGCCAGCAGCCGCGGUAAUACGAAGGGGGCUAGCGUUGUUCGGAUUUACUGGGCGUAAAGCGCGUGUAGGCGGCAAUUCAAGUCAUCUGUGAAAUCUCCGGGCUUAACUCGGAACGGUCAGAUGAUACUGCUUUGCUAGAGUGCAGAAGGGGCAAUCGGAAUUCUUGGUGUAGCGGUGAAAUGCGUAGAUAUCAAGAGGAACACCUGAGGUGAAGACGGGUUGCUGGGCUGACACUGACGCUGAGGCGCGAAAGCCAGGGGAGCAAACGGGAUUAGAUACCCUGGUAGUCCCUGAGCGGGCUGGCAAGGCGCAU
rnacentral:rRNA from 1 species